AUCGACAAAUUCAUAGUUUAAUAAUUAUUUUCAAUCUAUUACAGUAAUUUCACCGCUUCCACGGGUUUUUAGACCUUCAAAAAGUUACAAUAAAGCUAAAUUUACAGGAAAUAACAUUAUUUAGUUCCAAAUUUGUAAAGGAAAUCUAUAGGCUAUAUCGCUUUCGAUAAAACUUGACACCUUGACCUUGUUAUUACCGUCGCUGGCAUUCUGGCAAUUAACGAUGAACAGUCGCUCAUAAAAACGCAUAUUCGCGUGAGAAUCUUAAGUUUUCUUAUUUUGAAGUAAUAGGUAUUUUUCAAUAAAUAUAUUGAUAUUAAACCUAUUGAAGCAAUAUUUUAAGUUCCAGGUCAGUUGUACCAAAGGUGAUAUGCCCUACCGUAAACCUCCGACUAUAAGCCGCGCGUGGGCUUAUUUCGUAAGCGAUUUAUAUAAGGGGGGGGGGGCUUAUUUUAGUAAUAAACAAGUCAGUCAUAAACGGGAAAAUAAACAUGUAUUAAUAAUUCGCUUUGAUUAACAUAGUAAACUAUAAAGACAAUGAGGGGGCUUAGAUUUAAGGGGGCUUAUAUUCGGGGGCUUAUAUUUGGAAUGAGGUGAGCGUUAGUACAUGUGGCCGGUGGGCUUAUACACGGGGGCUUAUACACGGGGGCUUAUAAACCGGGGGCUUAUACAGGGGGGGUGUAUAUUUGGGGGCUUAUAUGUGUAUAGCGAAUGCCCAAGGUUUCAGAUGGCAUGCAACAUGUACACAUUGCGUACCUAUUUUUAAAAUAUGUUUUUAGAAAAAUUUACAAUUUCGGAAAUUGCAUGUCUAUAUAUAUGUUUAUAUUAUUAAACAAUACGCUCACAUGAUCAGUGUUGAUAAUAACCUCAUAUAACUGUAAGUGUUUGACAUGUUAAUAAAGCCUAAAAUAUAAACAAAACUAUUAUACAGUUAUAAAAACCAUCAGCAUUUUCAAUCAAAAGACAUUGAUGUAGUGCCAUUAACUUGCUCUUUCAAAUGUAGUAUCUGUAACUCUAAUUUUUCCUUUUCAAGAAGAAUAAUUUCUUCUUGCAGGUUUAGUAUCUUCAGCUUCUUUUUUAGAAGAUCUUGCCGAGUAACCUUUUCCUUUUCGUCAUUGGGCUUGCUGUUCGGCCUUGGUAGGGCUGUCGGUAAAACUUGUUGCUUUGUAUUUGGGCAAUUUAUCUUCUCGGGAUAAACAGGAGCAGCU